rnacentral:rRNA from 1 species
CCAAUAGCGUAUAUUAAAGUUGUUGCAGUUAAAAAGCUCGUAGUUGAAUUUCGGGAUCAAUAUGUCGGUCGUGCCAUCGGUACGUACUGGUAUCAUUGGUUUCUCCUUUCUGACGAACCAUGAUGUCAUUAAUUUGGUGUUAUGGGAAGUUAGGACUGUUACUUUGAAAAAAUUAGAGUGUUUAAAGCAGGCUUUAGCUUGAAUACAUUAGCAUGGAAUAAUGAAAUAGGACGUUCGAACCUAUUUUGUUGGUUUCUAGGAUCAACGUAAUGAUUAAUAGGGAUAGUUGGGGGCAUUAGUAUUCAAUUGUCAGAGGUGAAAUUCUUGGAUUUAUUGAAGACUAACUACUGCGAAAGCAUUUGCCAAGGAUGUUUUCAUUAAUCAAGAACGAAAGUUAGGGGAUCGAAGACGAUCAGAUACCGUCGUAGUCUUAACCAUAAACUAUGCCGACUAGGGAUCGGAUGAUGUUAAUUUUUUAAUGACUCA